rnacentral:piRNA from 1 species
UGGAUUUUGUCUCUCGUAGGA